rnacentral:rRNA from 1 species
ACGUGGGAACAUACCCUUUGGUUCGGAACAACGUUUGGAAACGGACGCUAAUACCGGAUACGCCCAUUGGCCGUGAGGUUUGUGGGGAAAGGCUUUGCCGCCGAAGGAGUGGCCCGCGUUCGAUUAGCUUGAUGGCGGGGUAACGGCCCACCAUGGCGACGAUCGAUAGCUGGUCUGAGAGGAUGGCCAGCCACAUUGGGACUGAGACACGGCCCAAACUCCUACGGGAGGCAGCAGUGGGGAAUAUUGGACAAUGGGCGCAAGCCUGAUCCAGCCAUGCCGCGUGAGUGAUGACGGCCU